rnacentral:misc_RNA from 1 species
AAGUCGUAACAAGGUUUCCGUAGGUGAACCUGCGGAAGGAUCAUUAUCACGUUAUCCACGUAUCAACCAUUGUGAACUAGUAUUAGACCUUUGGAUUAAGAAAGGUAGUGUUAUGUUAAACCGUUAUCAAACAAUAAUGAUUGGAAAUUGUUGAGGUUUAAUGCGACCAAACAAAUUCGUUUGUUUACUUUCUGAUUCAAAGUGUAUUUUUUUCAAUCAAUUAUUACAUUAACCAUUUAAACCCAAAAUUUUUCUAAAUUUUGAACUGAUUUAAUUUCUUACUCUCUAAACAAGAGAAGAAAUAAAUGAUUACGAAACAUAAGAACAACUCUUAGCAACGGAUAUCUUGGUUCUC